UUAUAGGUGUUCAUAAACACCACUAGACACUUACAAAAUGUUAAUCU
rfam:Aptenodytes forsteri contig22981, whole genome shotgun sequence.